CAACUUUCAGCAACGGAUCUCUUGGCUCUCGCAUCGAUGAAGAACGCAGCGAAAUGCGAUACGUAAUGUGAAUUGC
rnacentral:rRNA from 1 species